rnacentral:rRNA from 1 species
GCGGAGGAAAAGAAACCAACAGGGAUUGCCCUAGUAACGGCGAGUGAAGCGGCAACAGCUCAAAUUUGAAAUCUGGCUUCGGCCCGAGUUGUAAUUUGCAGAGGAAGCUUUAGGCGCGGCACUUUCUGAGUCCCCUGGAACGGGGCGCCAUAGAGGGUGAGAGCCCCGUAUAGUUAGAUGCCUAGCCUGUGUAAAGCUCCUUCGACGAGUCGAGUAGUUUGGGAAUGCUGCUCAAAAUGGGAGGUAAAUUUCUUCUAAAGCUAAAUACCGGCCAGAGACCGAUAGCGCACAAGUAGAGUGAUCGAAAGAUGAAAAGCACUUUGAAAAGAGGGUUAAAUAGCACGUGAAAUUGUUGAAAGGGAAGCGCUUGUGACCAGACUUGCGCCGGGCAGAUCAUCCGGUGUUCUCACCGGUGCACUCUGCCCGGCUCAGGCCAGCAUCGGUUCUCGCGGGGGGAUAAAGGCCCUGGGAACGUAGCUCCUCCGGGAGUGUUAUAGCCCGGGGCGUAAUGCCCUCGCGGGGACCGAGGUUCGCGCAUCUGCAAGGAUGCUGGCGUAAUGGUCAUCAGCGACCCGUCUUGAAACACGGACCAAGGAGUCAAGGUUUUGCGCGAGUGUUUGGGUGUAAAACCCGCACGCGUAAUGAAAGUGAACGUAGGUGAGAGCUUCGGCGCAUCAUCGACCGAUCCUGAUGUUUUCGGAUGGAUUUGAGUAGGAGCGUUAAGCCUUGGACCCGAAAGAUGGUGAACUAUGCUUGGAUAGGGUGAAGCCAGAGGAAACUCUGGUGGAGGCUCGCAGCGGUUCUGACGUGCAAAUCGAUCGUCAAAUCUGAGCAUGGGGGCGAAAGA